ACAGGUCUAUGCUAAGCUGAAAGGCGACGUAUAUGGGCUGACACCUGCCCAGUGCCGGAAGGUUAAGGGGAGGAGUGAGAGCUUCGAACUGAAGCCCCGGUGAACGGCGGCCGUAACUAUAACGGUCCUAAGGUAGCGAAAUUCCUUGUCGGGUAAGUUCCGACCUGCACGAAUGGUGUAAUGAUCCGAGAGCUGUCUUGGCGGUAGGCCUGGCGAAAUUGUAGUAUGGGUGAAGAUACCCAUUACCCGCAGGAGGACGGAAAGACCCCAUGGAGCUUUACUGUAGCUUGGUAUUGGGUUUUGAUUAUGUGUGUAUAGGAUAGUUGGGAGACUGAGAGACAAUGCCGCUAGGUGUUGAGGAGUCGUCGGUGGAAUACCAACCACACAUCGUUGAAAUUCUAAUCUGGGAAGUGAAUUCUUGGAGACAGUGCUAGGUGGGCAGUUUGACUGGGGCGGUCGCCUCCCAAAGAGUAACGGAGGCGCCCAAAGGUUCCCUCAGAAUGGUUGGAAAUCAUUCGAAGAGUGUAAAGGCAGAAGGGAGCUUGACUGCGAGACCUACAAGUCGAGCAGGGACGAAAGUCGGGCUUAGUGAUCCGGUGGUUCCGCAUGGAAGGGCCAUCGCUCAACGGAUAAAAGCUACCCUGGGGAUAACAGGCUGAUACUACCCGAGAGUCCAUAUCGACGGUAGUGUUUGGCACCUCGAUGUCGGCUCAUCUUAUCCUGGGGCUGGAGAAGGUCCCAAGGGUUGGGCUGUUCGCCCAUUAAAAAGGUACGUGAGCUGGGUUCAGAACGUCGUGAGACAGUUCGGUCCCUAUCCUCUGCGGGCGUAAGAGUAUUGCGAAGAUCUGUCCUUAGUACGAGAGGACCGGGAUGGACAAACCUCUGAUGUACCAGUUGUCACGCCAGUGGCACAGCUGGGUAGUCACGUUUGGAACGGAUAACCGCUGAAAGCAUCUAAGCGGGAAACCAGCUUCAAGAUAAAUACUCUCAUGCGCAAGCAAUAAGGCACCUUCUAGACUAGGAGGUUGAUAGGUUGGGGGUGUACGUGCAGUAAUGCAUUUAGCUGACCAAUACUAAUAUGCCGAAGACUUAACCUU
rnacentral:rRNA from 1 species